rnacentral:rRNA from 1 species
GAUGAACGCUGGCGGCGUGCCUAAUACAUGCAAGUCGAGCGAACGGACGAGAAGCUUGCUUCUCUGAUGUUAGCGGCGGACGGGUGAGUAACACGUGGAUAACCUACCUAUAAGACUGGGAUAACUUCGGGAAACCGUAGCUAAUACCGGAUAAUAUUUUGAACCGCAUAGUUCAAAAGUGAAAGACGGUCUUGCUGUCACUUAUAGAUGGAUCCGCGCUGCAUUAGCUAGUUGGUAAGGUAACGGCUUACCAAGGCAACGAUGCAUAGCCGACCUGAGAGGGUGAUCGGCCACACUGGAACUGAGACACGGUCCAGACUCCUAAGGGAGGCAGCAGUAGGGAAUCUUCCGCAAUGGGCGAAAGCCUGACGGAGCAACGCCGCGUGAGUGAUGAAGGUCUUCGGAUCGUAAAACUCUGUUAUUAGGGAAGAACAUAUGUGUAAGUAACUGUGCACAUCUUGACGGUACCUAAUCAGAAAGCCACGGCUAACUACGUG